UACGGAGGAUCCGAGCGUUAUCCGGAUUUAUUGGGUUUAAAGGGAGCGUAAGUGGAUUGUUAAGUCAGUUGUGAAAGUUUGCGGCUCAACCGUAAAAUUGCAGUUGAAACUGGCAGUCUUGAGUACAGUAGAGGUGGGCGGAAUUCGUGGUGUAGCGGUGAAAUGCUUAGAUAUCACGAAGAACUCCGAUUGCGAAGGCAGCUCACUGGACUGUUGACUGACACUGAGGCUCGAAAGUGUGGGUAUCAAACAGG
rnacentral:rRNA from 1 species